UUGCAAUUUUAUAUUGUGAUUUCAUCCCGUGAGCUAUUUUAUUGCUUUGGCCUGUGUAAUUAUGAGAGGAUUUACUGGAAUUUCAUUCUUUUGCAAUUGCAGCUGAUUAAUAAUUUGUUAUUUACACCUUAAUUUUGCCUUUUUGAAAUUGAGUUGUGUUUGCAAAGUAUACUGAGUCCCAGGAAUGUAGAAGCUGGUCAAUCCUUUCCUAAAUGAAUAAUGAAGACUGGAUUAUUUAUAAAUAACACCGUAGAAAUGCUUUCAAAACAAUGGGAGUACAACAACUUCAGCACAGAGCCUGAUUCUUCCUCUGCCAGGACCUUUAAAGGGGAAAGUGGGAUGUUCAGUUUUUAUGGAAGUAAGAGGCAGAAGGAUGUGUGUUACAAAUGUCUUCCGGAUGUUCUUGUACAAAAUCUUGAUUUUCAUGAGAUCAAAAGGUACAGAGGGAAGAUGCUCACAAACUGACUCUUCUUGGGUGGAGUUUUGAUGUCAGAGUUUUCCUCAGCAUUUAGAACAAAAUGUUAAUAAACUUACAUAUUACAAAACAACAGAUGUGUUGUAAUCAAGCAUAGGAACUGAGUGAUGGCAAAAGUGUUUAUCAUUGGGAGCUGAGAACGAUUUUGUAAUUUCUUGAAGACCAUAACUUAAAACGGGUCUCUUUCCCAUUGGUUGUAAAAACAAGUAGCAUACUCUGAAUGGUCUGCAAAGGAAAGUUGAACCUACUGACGAUGAAUUUAAGGGCAGGAUUAUACAUACACACGUUUAGAUUAUUCAGUUUUUUAUUACCCUGUAGCCUGGUCUUCCCAUACAGUGGAAUGAAGAUGUAGAAUCCCAAGGUAGGUAGCAUCAUUUCUGAAUCAACCCUUUAACUUACAAACUACACUACCACAAACAAAGAUUUUAGACUUCCUCCUCCCUGCAAAUGAUUGCUUCUUUCCAGAAGAGGUCAACAGGCAUCAGGUACCCUCUCGUGACAUCACUUACAUAGGCCUUUUAAUAUUUUUGGCAAACUCUUUUCACAUGUUCGAAACAUGAGCAGAUCAUUCCUGUUGUGCUAGGGGAAUCUCUCCUCAGGGCAUUCUUGAUCCACUGUUGACCAGUCAUCAAAGUUUGGUGACAGUGUCACCCACCGACCCACCUGGAACAGAUCAGCAAGUGGAUCCAUGUCUCUUUCAGAGCUACAGUUGCCAGAGAACUCUCCCUUUGCGGAGUUGUGGUCUGGGGCCUUGGCAAUGUAAUCCAUUGAUUAAAUUCUUCAAAGUUUAUAGUUUUACCUUUUGUAGGUACGAAACAGGCAAGAGAAAGUUAAAUUCCCAAGACCACUGCAGAUAAAUCCUUGAAUUUGAACCAACAUUGAUCAGAUUUGUACCCUACAUUUUAGCAAAUGGAACACUGGACUGCAUAUAAAGUGCAUUUCUGAA